CAGGCGUGAGCCACCACAGCCAGCCUCGAAUGUGAGUGGUUUUUGUUGUUGUUGUUGUUGUUGUUUUUUGAGACAGAGUUUCGCUCUUGUUGCCUAGGCUGGAGUGCAGUGGCACAAUCUCGGCUCACUGCAACUUCCGCCUCCCAGGUUCAAGCGAUUCUCCUGCCUCAGCCACCCGAGUAGCUAGGACUACAGGCAUGUGCCACCACGCUCAGCUACUUUUGUUUUUUGUUUGUUUGUUUGUUUGUUUUAGUAGAGAUGGGGUUUCACUUUGUUGGUUAGGCUGGUCUUGAACCCCUGACCUCAGGUGAUCCGCCCACCUAGGCCCCCCAAAGUAUUGGGAUUACAGGAGUGAACCACUGCGCCCGGCCUCGAAUGUGAGUGCGUUAAAACCCAGAUCGGGUCUGAUUGGGGUUGGCACCCAGGUGGCUCCAUAAUUGUUGCUGUCCUGAAUUAUUGCCCUCUUUGCUACUUGGACCGAACCCCAUCUUGGGACCACCGACUUCCUCUGACUCCUGGUCAGGCUCCUGGGCGGCAAAUCCUGGCCCCUGGUAUGGUCCCGCCUGCCUCUCUGUCCCCUUGUCUACCUGACCAGACCUCUGAACUUCAAGGCCUGGAUGCCCUGUCUCUCCUCCUGUGAGGCUCUGUCCUACCUCAUGUUGGGACCUAGGGCGCUCUGUUGUACAACUCCAGGGAGCACCAUUGUGUCUUCUGUAAAUGGCAGCUCCUGGAACACAGUGAGCCCUCAAUAGGGCAUGUCAGCUGUGGGCUCAGACAUCCUUUGGGUCUGGCAGUGCUCCAUUUCAUGUGCCCUGUCACCCUCACCCCUCUUUUUCCAUCCCACUUCUCCUAGCUGGACCAAGCUAGGCGUCAUCUACAAGCCCGGUGUGCUGACCAGGGAAUGUGUGGGGCUUGGGGCAUGGGGACAAUAAAUAACAUCACUUUUCUCAUUUCCCAGGCAGGUAACCAAUUGAAAGAUAAGAUACCAUAGACAGACAUCAACUUUAUUCCUGACUAAAGCUCAAAAGAAGGGCGUGGCGUAGAUUUACAGUGACCAUCCUAACACUCACGCGCAGAGUCACACGGUCCCACACUGGGCUGGACCAGCCCUGCUAAGCCCACAAGAGGUGGGGAGAACAGCAGCCGCUUCCUCUUUGUGGGGCCCAGGCCUGAGCUUCCCUCCGUUCCUGCCCCGGAUCUGACCACUGGGAUUGUGGGAGAGGGUGUCAAAGGACAGUUUUCUCCCAUAGUUUUCCCUUCCAGGGAGAAGAGUGGAAAUCCCCUCAUCUCAAAGGCAACAUGAGAUUGGAGAAUGUACUCUCAAAUCCCCAAACAGCAACAGAAUUGUUCUGCUUGCUUCAGAGCAGAGGCUCCGCAGCCCUUUCCAGACCUCUCCCAAGCGUGGAAAUGGACGAAGGGCUGGAUGGGGCUCAGAGGGGAGGUCAGGCGGGACUCCCUCAGACAGCAGCUGGGGUUCCUCUGUUCCAGGCCCAGCUCUCACUGAAACAGGAGAGGGUGUGAAGGAAUGGAUUUGGAACUGUCAAGAACUCCUUCCUUAGUGGGCAGUGGAGAUCAAAAGCUGAGUGAAGCAGUGGUCCAGCUGGAAUUCAACACCUGAGAUAUCUGACUCCAGAUACCAGCCCUUCCUUGCUUCCCACUAGCUGCCUAACCCAGAGAGGAGAUUGGGAAAAGAGAAACAAGUUACAGAAUUCAAGAGUAGGUAUCAUCUGGGGUCUUCCUGAAGGAACAAGUGUUGCUCCAGAGAAGCCAGAAAUUCUUAUCUCUGCUUUGCUCUAACCACCUCUUUAGGCUUUAUGACUGAAGAGUCCCUUUGGCCCCUUAACUCCACAAGGCUGACCCUGGUGAUCAGCAGCUGAGAUCUACAUGAUACAGUCCAGACACCAGAAGGAGACUGAAUCUCUCUCCCAAAUCUCAGCUCUAAAAUUCCCAAGAGAGGGCCUCAUGGGUCCAGGCAGUGUCUGGUGUCCGUCCUGCAAUGGCCAGGAGCCAGGUUUUCUUGUAGGAGUGUGACAGCUCCUCCUGCAGUCGGGGAUCCUGGAUGGGGCUGAGGAGAAGUUCCAAGGCAAGGAGGAUUGGCAUCUGCUCCAUAAGUGCAUUCUUCUCUUUGCACUUGAUCUUUUAUCUACCUCAUAGAUAGAUCCUUCUUGCUCACACUUUCAGCCUGUCCUUUUUUUUUUUUUUUUUUUUUUUUGAGACAGGGUCUCGCUCUGUCACUCAAGCUGGAGUGCAGUGGCAUGAACUUGGCUCACUGCAGCCUCCACCUCCCAAGUUCAAGUGAUUCUCCUGCCUCAGCCUCCCAGGUAGCUGGGAUUACAGGCGUGUGCCACCACACCUGGUUAAUUUUUUUGUAUUUUUAGUAGAGAUAGGGUUUCACCAUGUUGACCAGGCUGGUCUUCAACUCCUGACCUCCCCAGUGAUCCACCCACCUAGGUCUCCCAAAGUGCUGGGAUUACAGGCAUGAGCCACUGUGCCCAGCGCUUUCAGCCAGUUUGACCUCUACUCAUGCAAAUUUUACCUUUCCCUUUAUGCCUCACUCCACCUCACGGCUUCACUCUCUUCUCCCUGAUCGCACCCCACUGUGACUGCCUGAAAUGCCACAUGUUUCUUCAUUCAGAUUUCUCAGAUAAUUCAAUGGUUCCACCCAUAAUUCCACACCUGGCCACUUCAUAGACAAUGACUCACUUAAGGACAGGCUGCCUCAGGGUGCACAGCCUGUAUUCAGGAAUCUGCUAGAGCAACACAUAGCUGUACCUUCUGCAAGGCUGUGGGCUGGAUGACUCCACUGUGGGCGUGGAACACGGGCUGGUGUCAUAAGGAGACAUUCUUUAUGCCUUAGGCAUUGAAAGGAUACUCCUUCCAAAAGGCCUUUCCCAGCGUUUCCCCCUGAAAUCCACUAACCAUAGCAUUUCACUGUUGACACUGCCAUAUAGUGCUAAGUGCAGUUGUCUAACUCCUACUGCCACAGAGAUUCAAGUGUACAAUGGCUUACACGUGUGAGAAGAUUAUUUCUUGUUCAGAUAUCAAAUGCAGAAUAAGCAGUCCAGAGAGGAGAUGACAGCUUUAUGGUGUUGGGGACCUAUGCUCCUUCUGACUUGCUGUUCUAUCAUCCCUUGGACGGUGGCCUCAUCUCCUUGGAUCCAGAUGGAUCACUACCACAUUCCAGCCAGUGGGAAGGGGGAAAUGCAUUUCCUUUUCCUUUAAAUGCGGGAGCCAGAGUUUGCACACCUCACUUCACUCACACCUUGCCAGCCAGAACGUAGUUACAGGGUCACAUCAAGCUUGAAGGAGAGCUGGCAAAUGAAGUCUAUUUUGGGUGGCCAUGUGCCCAGCUAAAAGUUGGGAAUUCUAUUAUUAAAGAGGAAGAGGAAGAGAAGAAUGCAUAUCCCACCAUUCUGUCACCGUUUUUGACUGCUCUCCACUCACUAUCCAGUCUGUCACAUGCUGGCACAUCCCAUUCCUGAUGCCUUUCCUAUGGGGCUCUAUUCUUCAUCCCCACCAAUACCACCAUGCAUUGGGCCCUUCCUGCUUUAUACCCACUGUCUCAUUAGAACGUCCUAGCUGAUCCCUUUGCUUUCAGUCACCUUCUGUGAUCAUUCUAUUAAUAAAUAGCAAAUCUGAUCAUAUGCCCCUAUUGUUUAGAAAUCAAUGGCUCCCCACUGCCCAUAGCAGUAAGAUUUUGAAUCCUUUUUUUUUUGAGACAGGGUCUCAUUCUGUCACCUAGCCUGGAGUGUAGUGGUGAGAUCACAGUCAUUGCAGCCUUGACCUCCUGGGCUCAAGUGAUCUCCCCACCUUAGCCUCCCAAGUAGCUGAGACUACAGGCACACAUCACAACGCCUGGCUAGUUAUUAAUUUUUUUUUUUUUGUAGAGAUGGGAUGUCACUAUGUUGCCCAGGCUGGGCUCAAGUGAUCCUCCUGCUUCAGCCUCUCAAAGUGUUGGGAUUACAGGUGUGAGCAACUGCAUUCAGCUGAGUGCAGAUUUUUGAAUCCCUGAAGUUGUAUGCAAAUUUUGCCU
rnacentral:lncRNA from 1 species